rnacentral:rRNA from 1 species
GACGAACGCUGGCGGCGUGCCUAAUACAUGCCAGUCGUACGCUGAAGCGAGGAGCUUGCUCUUCUUGGAUGAGUUGCGAACGGGUGAGUAACGCGUAGGUAACCUGCCUUGUAGCGGGGGAUAACUAUUGGAAACGAUAGCUAAUACCGCAUAACAAUGGAUGACACAUGUCAUUUAUUUGAAAGGGGCAAUUGCUCCACUACAAGAUGGACCUGCGUUGUAUUAGCUAGUAGGUGAGGUAAUGGCUCACCUAGGCGACGAUACAUAGCCGACCUGAGAGGGUGAUCGGCCACACUGGGACUGAGACACGGCCCAGACUCCUACGGGAGGCAGCAGUAGGGAAUCUUCGGCAAUGGGGGCAACCCUGACCGAGCAACGCCGCGUGAGUGAAGAAGGUUUUCGGAUCGUAAAGCUCUGUUGUAAGUCAAGAACGGGUGUGAGAGUGGAAAGUUCACACUGUGACGGUAGCUUACCAGAAAGGGACGGCUAACUACGUG